rnacentral:sRNA from 1 species
UGGGCAUAAUUAUGUGAAAGUGUUCAAUUUUUAUCUGUUUCCAUACUAUCACAAUACCAUGCUUAUCAAAACUUCUAGUUACAUGUUCUUAACAUUUGAAUUUUUCAUCAAACAGAAAAAAAGUUUACAUGUUCUUCACAUCUUUAACUUUAAGGUUCUUUAUAUUUACAUCAAAACAUGAUUCCUUUAAAACAAUCUUAUUAUUUUAUAUUUGAUUUCUUCAUUUAACAAGGAAUUUUACAUGUUUUCCUUUUACUGUCAUAUUAUUUUCAUUUGCAUUUAAUCUCAACUCCUUGUGCUUUUUGAGAUAUUUUUUAGAAUGGCAUCGGUACAUGAACUGUAGAACACAUAUUGUUAUCCAGUUGACCAAUAUCAUUGUUACAUAAGGCUUUUCAUAUAUCCCAUUGUUGUAUUGACUAUAUUGUUUGGGUGCUAAUUCUUCUGUCAUAGUUUUGUUGUAUCAUGAAAUGAUAAUGAUGUCCUUUCACUGAUGUUUAGAUAUGCUCAACUUGAUGGUGUUUUUGAAGUAAUAGAUUGUUAAUUCCU